AAAAUAAUUAAAAAAACAUUAUAAAAACACACACACACAUUUUGCUUUGUUGUUUUGUUUGUUUCUUCUUGUUUUU
rnacentral:ribozyme from 12 species